rnacentral:rRNA from 1 species
GAUGAACGCUGGCGGCGUGCCUAAUACAUGCAAGUCGAGCGAACAGACGAGGAGCUUGCUCCUCUGACGUUAGCGGCGGACGGGUGAGUAACACGUGGAUAACCUACCUAUAAGACUGGGAUAACUUCGGGAAACCGGAGCUAAUACCGGAUAAUAUAUUGAACCGCAUGGUUCAAUAGUGAAAGACGGUUUUGCUGUCA